AGUGAACGCUGGCGGUAGGCCUAACACAUGCAAGUCGAACGGCAGCACAGUAAGAGCUUGCUCUUACGGGUGGCGAGUGGCGGACGGGUGAGGAAUACAUCGGAAUCUACUUUUUCGUGGGGGAUAACGUAGGGAAACUUACGCUAAUACCGCAUACGACCUACGGGUGAAAGCAGGGGAUCUUCGGACCUUGCGCGAUUGAAUGAGCCGAUGUCGGAUUAGCUAGUUGGCGGGGUAAAGGCCCACCAAGGCGACGAUCCGUAGCUGGUCUGAGAGGAUGAUCAGCCACACUGGAACUGAGACACGGUCCAGACUCCUACGGGAGGCAGCAGUGGGGAAUAUUGGACAAUGGGCGCAAGCCUGAUCCAGCCAUACCGCGUGAGUGAAGAAGGCCUUCGGGUUGUAAAGCCCUUUUGUUGGGGAAGAAAAGCAGCGGGUUAAUACCCCGCUGUUCUGACGGUACCCAAAGAAUAAGCACCGGCUAACUUCGUG
rnacentral:rRNA from 1 species